rnacentral:Y_RNA from 1 species
AGCUGCUCCACAAGGAGUACUAUCUGGAAUAUAUUUUUUAAAAGUCAAAAAAAAAAAAAAUACCACCACCCCCCCACUGCUAAAUUUGACUGGCUUAAA